rnacentral:rRNA from 1 species
AUUGAACGCUGGCGGCAUGCUUUACACAUGCAAGUCGAACGGCAGCGCGGGCUUCGGCCUGGCGGCGAGUGGCGAACGGGUGAGUAAUGCAUCGGAACGUGCCCAGUAGUGGGGGAUAGCCCGGCGAAAGCCGGAUUAAUACCGCAUACGACCUGAGGGUGAAAGCGGGGGACCGAAAGGCCUCGCGCUAUUGGAGCGGCCGAUGUCGGAUUAGCUAGUUGGUGGGGUAAAGGCUUACCAAGGCGACGAUCCGUAGCUGGUCUGAGAGGACGACCAGCCACACUGGGACUGAGACACGGCCCAGACUCCUACGGGAGGCAGCAGUGGGGAAUUUUGGACAAUGGGGGCAACCCUGAUCCAGCCAUGCCGCGUGCGGGAAGAAGGCCUUCGGGUUGUAAACUGCUUUUGUUCGGGAAGAAAUCCUCUGGGCUAAUACCCCGGGGGGAUGACGGUACCGGAAGAAUAAGCACCGGCUAACUACGUG